CACAGCUUGUAGGGGUAGCCUACGUAGCAAUCAACAAAUUAUUUCUUCAGAAGUUAGGCAUCAUGAAGUGGGCUUCUUCUUCCUCGGCCUCGCUCGCACUCGUCCUGGCGAUCCUGGCUAUCGUUUGCUGCUCCCUGCCAUGCUCUGCCCUCCAAGCUAGCAAGAAGACUCCGUACGGUGAGGCCCAAGGAGGCCAUCAACCAUGGAAACCUCCGUCGCCGGGCUGUCCGCACUGCAUCUAUCGCAACGGUGAUAUGCCUCCGCCAUCUGCUGCUGCCAUGGCGGCACUCACGCCGCACCGAAAGUGCCCGCGGGACACUAGGAACUGAACGCCGUCCCAAUUAAGCUGAUGUAUGCAAUGAAAUUAUCAAUUCCAUGAGCCGCUAUAGUGAUCGCUCUUUGUUUGUUUGUUUGUUUGUACUACUUCCACCAGCGGAAAUGCUUACUGUUCCUGUGCGUGUGCCAA